GGGCUGACUCCAAGACCACACAGCUAGUCUGCGCACAGAUUUGGAGCCGGGGGUCUCCGCGCCACUAUGUCUCUCAAACAGCGUACCAUUUCAUUUAUAAUUCUGGAUGUCUGGUCGUUGAAAGGGGCUCACAGGACAUCUGUUUAAUAAUUCAUUCUAGAAUUUCUGAGGGAUCAUGAUCAAGUAGGUGUCUUUGAAAAGAUUUCAGCACUAAAGUGUCUGCACAUAAAAUGUUCCAUAGAAAGGAAAGUAGAAAAAAAAAAAAGAAAGGGAAAAAAAAUUACACUGUCACUAACCUCUGCAAGCUACCGCCCUACGAGAACCCAGUACCGCCCUGCGUGUGAGCCCCAAGCGCCAUGCUAACAGGAGCCACUGACGGGCAGUCCCCACCGGAAACCAGGGUCUUCCUGGGACCCCUUCUUAGGUCUCACGUGCCCAGGGCUCACACACAAGGUCAGCAUGGAAGGCACAUUCAUACAAACACUUUUAAGAAAUGGUUCUUUUCUGCAUUGCAGUUGAGACAGCCUGCGCUGUCAGCCGUUCCAAGUCCUCUUAUAGCUCUUCAUGCUGUGCCGCUGGGGAUGCUGGGAUGUGGUCCCUGGUCAGUAUGGAAACACUGAAUAUACAGUUUUCUUUCAUUAAUACUCUUAACAACCUGUGCGUGAAGUUGUCAAUGAGUUCAGCUUGUGGCCAAGAGACCCCAGCUCUCUCAGGGUUGUGUGAAGUUUGGAUGGGCGGUGUCCUGGCCCCCGCUUCUAGGCUGAUGAAGUUUGAGUCGGACAGCCAAGCCACUUAACUCGUUUUCUAGAAAGCUACAUCUGGAGAUUAGGCCAUGUCUGGAACAUCUGCCAGCCAAGAAGGCAGAGCACCCACUGUUCCCUCAGAGUGAGGGAGUCACAAGGUCAUAAAGAUCUGUACCAGGAAGGACGCUUCAGAGUCACCUAGUGUCAUGCCGUUCUUU